rnacentral:tRNA from 1 species
UCGUAGCUCAACUGGAUAGAGCAACAGACUUCGGAUCUGUAGGUUAUGGGUUCAAUUCCUAUCGGGC